rnacentral:rRNA from 1 species
AUUGAACGCUGGCGGCAUGCUUUACACAUGCAAGUCGAACGGCAGCAUGGGCUUCGGCCUGAUGGCGAGUGGCGAACGGGUGAGUAAUGCAUCGGAACGUACCCAGUCGUGGGGGAUAACGUAGCGAAAGUUACGCUAAUACCGCAUACGACCUGAGGGUGAAAGCAGGGGAUCUUUGGACCUUGUGCGAUUGGAGCGGCCGAUGUCAGAUUAGCUAGUUGUGGGUAAAGGCCUACCAAGGCGACGAUCUGUAGCGGGUCUGGGAGGAUGAUCCGCCACACUGGGACUGAGACACGGCCCAGACUCCUACGGGAGGCAGCAGUGGGGAAUUUUGGACAAUGGGCGCAAGCCUGAUCCAGCCAUGCCGCGUGCGGGAAGAAGGCCUCGG